GGCCCGCCCACCACCUCCCCACCACCACUGCCACCGAACGUCCGAACCCGCGCCCAGACCCCGAUGCCGCACCACCGUAACCGCCCAGCUCGGAUCCUUACCGUCGCCGCUCCUUCUUCCCGAGACUCGCCCCCAAUCCCGGCGCCCAGCUCGGAUUCGCGCCCCCAAUCCCGGCACGCAGUCGCCGCUCCCUCAUCCAGAGAGACCCCAAUCCCGGCGCCCAGCUCGGAUCCUGACGGCGCCGAAGCAACCUGCCAUCGGCGCUCCUUCAUCCCCCAGACGCGUCCCCAACCCCGGCGCCGCACCACCCCCAUCCCGGCGCGUCUCGGCCUCCCGUCGGCGACCCUCGCACCGUCCCGGCGAAGUGCUGAACGGCCGGUUGCCGUCAGCCCUUCUCCCCCGGCGAGCUGCAGCAUCCGUCCCGGCGAGCUGCAGCAUCCGUCCAGCGCAAUUGAUCUAAGGGCGAGAUACUUAUAGUUCAUUCUUUCUAUUACUGGAUUCAUUCUGUCUAUUACGCAUCGUAGGUUCCCGCCGGCGAGGAGGACCUGCUGACGCAUGUGCCAGUGAGAUGGAGCAGCCGGCACAGGUGCAGACUUAUGAACUGGAGGUCAUCCUGAUGCCAAUUUGAGUAAACCAUGUGUCAAUCUCGCCGUGGUCGAUCUAUUUUAGCUGUUCUUAUUGGGACUGUCCAGCAAUGUGAAGGAAGGAGCACUGGCAAGAAUCUUGCUAACACAGCCAGAUCCUUCAGAUAACCCAAUGCAAAGCACUAUUCAUAGCAAACCAUUGUAAGUCUGUGCCGCUGUCCGGCCUUCCUCAGUGCCAAGCAGCUCGCUUAUUAUCUGUACUACCCAGGGUUUUCUACACAUUCGUCCUCACCGAUGGAGUCUCCUGAAUCGCUGCCCUUACAUACUGAACUCUUCAGUGAGUUCCAUCACGGGACUGCUCAACUAGAAGCAUGGCAGAUCUGGUUUUUGAUGGAUACAGGAAGUAGCACGGGGAGAGGUAGCUGGAUCUGGUUUUCUCUGGCCGCUAGAAGCCAGACCUGAAUCAUGUCGUCAUCCUCUCCCUCCAAAAUGCCUAGCCAUCCCUCUUCAGUCUACAUCGCUAUCGCUCGCAUCCAUCCUUCUGCCUGUCAUGUUGAAAGAUACUAACAAUACAAAUUCUCCCUCAGCACUGAAGAAUCAGGGCACAAGGGAAUAUGAGCCAUAGGGUCAAGGAUCUACAGAAUACAGGGUCCUCUUUAUCAGGCAGAUAUGAAUGGGUGCAAUCUGUAUGAUAGAGCACUCUGAGGAACUUCAGAAUCUUGUUAAUGACGCUAUUGACAAAGGUGCCGAAAUUGCUGUCAGAGGGAGUUUUGGCAAUCUUGGUGAAGAUGCAGUUGAUCAAUUUUUCCCUCCAACUAUCCUGGUGAAUGUUAAUCACACAAUGAAAAUUAUGCAAGAAGAGGCAUUUGGACCAAUUCUACCAAUCAUAAAAUUCAGUUCUGACGAAGAGGCUAUUAAACUGGCAAAGGAUUCAAAAUUUGGUCUUUGUGGAUGACUCUGUCCUGUUGGUGUUUGCAGCUUGUGCUUGGGAACGUAGCUUUGAGAACCUUUUCUGGUUUACACCUGUUGCCUGGGCAUUGAAAUGAAAUUGAAAUUCUACUAACUAUGGUUGUGCAAGGAUGUGUCAUGUGCUGCUCUUGGACACCAUCGGUGUUGAGUGUCUGUGUGCGGUUGAUAAAUCUCAGCAGCUUCAUCGGCAUGUACAAAGUGUGGGGAAGAAAAGACCUUGUACUUUUGCUCCAAAAAAAAGAGCUUCCACAAGCUCCUUGUAUACUCAAAUAGUUUGUGCUCAUAAAUAAAAUCAAUAAAAAAAACUUCCACAGCUUCAUCGACA